CUGGGGGUUCGGAUGACGUUUUCACCAUCUUCACGGAGUAUCUGAUGCGAACGUUAGCUUACCGCGGAGGAAUGAAAAUGCUUCGGUGGCAGUAUAUACGAAAGGGACUGUGGAUAGAACGUCUUGCAUCACAUAGGGUCCUGCCAAAGUAGACGCUAUUUUUUUUUUUUUUUAACUCCGUCGGCAUCAAAAAGGUAGACCAAUGAAAUAUGAAAUCCACAGAAGAUUGCUAUUAAACUACAGGGAAGUAUUAUCUCGUUCCUAGCGUACAUCGCUUCAAACACGAAAUCUAUAAUAUAUUCUAGCCACUUUGCUCAUUCUCACUACAAGAGUACGUUAGGUCACUUUAGAAACUUUAGAUCUCACAUCUCAAUAUAUUUAACAGUUACUCAUGCUUAAUAUGGAAACAUUACUCUUCUAUUGUUUCUUUAUUUAGUCACAUUAGAAGACAAAAAUAGAUUAGCCGGUUGUUAUUAAUCCGAGGAAAGCUAUCUUCUAAACCUCCAUAUGGAAUAGUGACAAGUAAAUAAUUGCUAACUUUGUUUGUUUAGUAAAAGCCGAAACUUAAAAUAACUAAAUAGCAUUAUUCUAUACGCAUACACAAAAACUUCAGCACGAUUCCUUCGGGUAUUGUUACUGAUAGUAAUGUUUUAAAAGACAACUUACAAAUGAUAGGUCAAAAGCCGUUUGAAUAUUUCCUCAACAAAAUUCCCUGUUUUAAGGGUUUGUAUUGGUCAAGACGUUCAUGGCUGUCCAUAACAUUUAAAUGAACGACUCUCGAGUUGAUUACUAAAUUUUGGCCACGAUGCCUAAUGUCAGGACCAGACGUAAAGCUCGAACAUUUAGUUGUUAAGCGUCUAUAUAUAUAUAUAUUGGUAACGUAUUGGUUAAAUGCUGCUAUGCAGGAACCUAUACGUACAUAUAACUCGUGCUUAAUUUAAAUUGACAACAAAUAAAGUGAACGUAUCGAGUCUGUCUUCUUUGGCGGAAAAUAGUCGUCUGAUUUUAUCCAGAAGAUCUAUAUGAAUACUAAACUUACAUCAAAGCUAUACCGUUAUUAUAUAAAAUUAUGCAAAUUAUACCAGGCGCGCUUCGCAUGCUAUGUUUCCGAUGGGCCAUUGCGUAGCUAGUUUCUCUCGAGGAGGCUAGCUCGGAGAAUCUAUUUGACCUAUAAAAGCUGUUCACAGCGACCGGUGUAAGUCAGACACUUCGGCCUUCCAGUACUCAAAAGUGACAGCGUCUGGGUGGCGUAUAAUUAUCUUGGUCGACUCAUCCUUUCUUUCGUUAUUCUCAUGAAAUCAGCAAGGAUUCACAAUUGAUUUCAGAAAGCCGUAAAUGUAGAUCUUAAUGACGUGGUGGUCGAUAACAUGCCCGUCUUCGGUACGUAGUAUUACUUCGCAAAAAAAAAACUCGACAAGCUCUUUGUAGCGGGAUAUACAAUAUCUUUUUCUUCCCUUUUUAAGAACUAAUCACAAAAACAUCGGGUCGACCGGCUUUUUCAGUUAAUUAAAGUUUCCAAAUUCGUCAUAAUUUACCGAGCAUAACUCGAAACGGCGUCGCAGUUCAUGUAGCUUGAUGCCUCCUUUGAAGAAGCCCCGCUUAUGCACUUACUGCUCGGCUCGAAAACUAUCAGUUCUGAACUUCUUGAAAUAAAUACAACGUAAACCAGGUUGUCUCGAUUGAACGGAGUAUGGCAAAAAGUGCAUCGGUGUACACGCCUUUAUCUUCGAAAUUUCGUUUCAUAACGACCAGUAUAAUAAGGAUAAGUUCCGCUGAACUAAUCUCGUCAAGCUUUGAAACUGUGUUAAUAAUAGUAUCCCCAAGCAUUACCAGAUGGCUGACAAUACGCUAUUUAGUCAUGAUCGUCUUUCGAGAUGGAGAGACUAGUGCCCAGGCUUACUUUCCUUCUGAACUCGUUUGUCAGAGAUACAGCCCACACCGAAGAUCUCGUCGAGUGACUGCUAUUCAUCCUCUUCAGGGCUCGGUUGCUUCGACAGGAUAAUCCCAGUUAUAGGUUUAUCGCCAGUGAAGCCUGCCACUCCGCAUUCAUAAAUACUGCCGAAGUCACUAGUUAAACUAAGUUUACACAAACCCCUCAUCGGUUCCAGAGAACCACAACCGAGAGCAUAUCCGCGCGAAUGUGGAUAAAAGUUAAGCCUUUCCUGUACUGAUGCUUAGAACAGAGAGAAUUUAUUUUGUUGGCGUUUCCUCUUAACGCUGCGAACCCCGUUCAUACCUAUCACGUUGAACACUACGCACAGCCUUCCAAAGCUUAACUGAUGGAGCUCAUUUGCUGUCACUAAUAGCUCAAAUUGUAUGCUAAAUAGAUCGUACGAAAUAAUUUUUCGAGUUAUAACGAAGCGCGCUACCUUUGACGACAUCACUCUGAUCCAGUUGGGUCGAAAGCCUGUGUUCCAGUGAUACAGAGCCUGAACGGUUUCUAAGGAUGAAGACGACAAGAGGCGUCGUAGCGUUUUUGGCACAUUUUUGUGCCCCUAAUUGUCGUCAUGAAUCCUCGUCACUUAUUUCGGCUAUAUCAACAUCAAGUUUCCUAGGACCGUCGUAUUUGACCAAUGGCACGUCAGCGAAUCCCUCUUCUAGUAUGGGGUCCACACAUUGAUAGAUCCUUGACGAUGACAUCGCGGGUACUCUCGUAUCAGUCUCGAUCAACUUCCGCAGAAAUUUCAUCAACUCCUUCCACUUCUUACCACUAUGAAGAGGAAGCUUUACAUCGAGAUUUCCAGAAUCAUUUAUCUCGCGUCUCGACCAUGAACAGCUCCUUCUUUUUCUAGAGGCCUGGGCAGCCUUUCUCUUAACACUAUAAUUGAAACUUUUAUCGAAUUUUUACUUAAACAAUUUCAAUAUAUCGGCUAUUCCCGCUAUUUCAACUUUCAAUCGAUACCAACGCCCUCUCGACGCAAUUCAUAUUACCUAAAAUGUGUCACUUUUUAAACAGUUCAGUGCCUCUUAGACACCCCAUUUCAAGUUAUGCAUUUGUGCUGGACUACAUCAUCUACAUCAGCCAUACUCGUAUAACAUACAAAAAUACUUCCCUUAUUAAAUUUACGAAUCCAAGUGCCCGCAGUGUUUUCUUUUUGCCGCUGUUAUCUAAAUCAAAGUUGAUUUGUCGUCAAUAGCACGAGAGCUACAGAGAGAAACAGUGAAUCAUAUAGAUUCGUCUUUAAGUGUUAGCAGCAAGCAUCAUCGAAGGCAAUCCUAAUCUUAGGACUGAUGAGAUCAUGUAGUUGUCUGUCUGCCUUGCGAUAAUAAUAGUUUAUUCGUGCAAAAUAUCCCGUUAUCAUAAGGUUACAGGAGCGUUUUUAAUUACACAUGUAUGUUCAAAAAUAACGGAAAUUUUCUGUUUCA